rnacentral:lncRNA from 1 species
ACUGCAAAUACAUUCUUGAUUAGAAAUAUUUAAUAUAAAAUUUUUCCAAAAGAACAUCUAAGUUUGAUGCAAUUACAAUUAGAUUGCUCAAACAAGGUUUUUGUUUUUCUUUAUAUGUUUAAGUGAUUGAAUUAUCUGGAAGAAUAAAUGUUGGUUACUAGCUUAGAAAAUAUAUGAAAAAGAAGAAUAGUGAGACUGACUCGCCUCAUCAAAUAUCAGUAUAUACUAUAAAGCCACUGUAAUCAAAUCCACAUGGUACUGGGAUACGUAGACACAAAUAGUGGGUGGAAUAGAACAGUGGGACUCCAGGAACAGCUCUCAGAAUAAAUGGUAAUUUAAAGGGGACAGAUCUGUUUAACUCCACACUCCCAAUCACCCACAGGUAACUUUGCUUCCUC